UUGCUUUGGAAGCACAAAUACUAAAAGUGGAAUGACACAGAGGAAAUUAGCGUGCUCUUGUGCAAGGAUUACAUAUAAAUUCAUGAAGCAUUAAAAAAACCC